UGGAGCUUAUAAAAGUUUCCGCUUCCGAUAUAGUGAAUUUACAAAACUGAAAUUCAAAAAUUAAAAAAAAGGCGAAAAACUCGUACUGUAAAUUCGAUUUUUUAUUUUUCAUUUUUUUUUCGUUUGCGUAAUUGUGAUUAUUAUUUUUUUUGAUGGGGAAAGGCGGUGGUUGCGUUCCAAGCAAGAAGAAGGUUCCCUCCGGCGGGGCCGAGGAUUCCCGGCGCGGCGGAGCCGCCGGGAACGCGCCGAUUCCUGCCGACGACAGGCCGAACGACGCCUUGUCGAGAGAUUCCGCGGCGGCGGAGGAGAAUUCCCACCCAAUCGCGAAGCUGAAGGUGUUCAUCGUGUUCUACUCGAUGUACGGACACGUCGAAGGGUUGGCGAGGCGGAUGAAGAAGGGCGUGGACGCGGUGGACGGCGUCGAGGCGGUCUUGUUUAGGGUUCCGGAGACGUUGCCGACGGAGGCGUUGGAGCAGAUGAAGGCGCCGCCGAAGGACCCCGAGAUUCCGGAGAUUUCGGCGGCAGAGCUGGCGGCGGCCGACGGCGUCUUGUUUGGGUUUCCGACGAGGUACGGGGCCAUGGCGGCGCAGAUGAAGGCGUUUUUUGAUUCGACGGGGCAGCUGUGGAAGGAGCAGAAGCUCGCCGGGAAACCGGCUGGGUUCUUCGUCAGUACUGGCACGCAAGGUGGCGGCCAAGAAACCACUGCUUGGACCGCUAUUACCCAGCUAGCACACCAUGGAAUGCUUUUCGUUCCCAUCGGAUACACUUUCGGAGCUGGUAUGUUCAAGAUGGACUCCAUAAGAGGGGGCUCUCCAUAUGGUGCAGGUGUGUUUGCUGGUGAUGGCACUAGGGAACCCACUGAAACCGAGUUGGCUCUUGCAGAGCAUCAGGGCAAGUACAUGGCUGCAGUAGUCAAGAAGCUUGCCUUUGCCUGACAAUUUGCUCCUGAUUCGGAACUCACUUACAUUUGCUCACCAUCAUCGCUUCUGUUCGAUUUUUUCCCGUGAUUGUCGUUGGCAUUGUCCUAUUACAGUCUGGCAAGAAAGAUGCCACUACUCUAAUGGCAGUGUGAAGACUGUGUUUAAUGGUCAUUAACUAACAAUCUAGACAAGCCUUGUCGUCUUUAAGGAGAAAACAUCGUGGGCCCAUGUCGAAUUUAGUCAAAUUGGUGGUGUCUUCCUCAUCAACAAUAUAUUAAAAAAAAAUACCAGAUAUUUCUUCGUAAUCUUAGGCCCCUGGGAUGUCCAUAUGAUGGGGUCAGGCAAAUUAUCAAAUAGUUUUUUUGUUUUUUUUUUAGGGAAAAUUAUCAAAUAGUUAACUGUGUUCAUGAUACA